GUGGAAGCAGUAAAAUGUCUCCAGUUAAUGCUACAAGCAUGGAGUGGCUUCUGGAAUUAUCAAAGCAGAGGCACUGGCUGGGAUCUGCAUUCUGUCCCUGCUUCCACAAGGAGUAUGAGGAACACUGAGCAACACCACCACAGCUUGUUUCUCCUCAACAUAAGCUGUCAGUGUUGUGUCUGGAUCACUGCACUGCAAUGUGGAUGGAUACAGGACACACGAUAUGUGGAAAAUCCUUAAAACUGCAGUCCUGGUAGUAACCGACAUAUAUACUAUCAACAAAUAU
rnacentral:lncRNA from 1 species